rnacentral:rRNA from 1 species
GUAGGGAAUAUUGGUCAAUGGACGAAAGUCUGAACCAGCCAUUCCGCGUGCAGGAAGAAGAUUCUAUGGAUUGUAAACUGCUUUUAGCAGAGAAGAAACGCCUUCAUUGAUGAGGGUUUGACGGUAUCUGCGGAAUAAGCACCGGCUAACUCCGUGCCAGCAGCCGCGGUAAUACGGGGGGUGCAAGCGUUAUCCGGAAUCACUGGGUUUAAAGGGUGCGUAGGCGGGAAAUUAAGUCAGUGGUGAAAGUCUGUUGCUUAACGAUAGAAUUGCCGUUGAUACUGAUUUUCUUGAAUUGGGUUGAGGUUAGCGGAAUGUGACAUGUAGCGGUGAAAUGCAUAGAUAUGUCAUGGAACACCAAUUGCGAAGGCAGCUAGCUGGGCCUUGAUUGACGCUGAGGCACGAAAGCGUGGGUAGCGAACAGGAUUAGAUACCCCUGUAGUCC